rnacentral:rRNA from 1 species
GGGUUGUGAGGUUAAGCGACUAAGCGUACACGGUGGAUGCCCUGGCAGUCAGAGGCGAUGAAGGACGUGCUAAUCUGCGAUAAGCGCCGGUAAGGUGAUAUGAACCGUUAUAACCGGCGAUUUCCGAAUGGGGAAACCCAGUGUGACUCGUCACACUAUCAUUAACUGAAUCCAUAGGUUAAUGAGGCGAACCGGGGGAACUGAAACAUCUAAGUACCCCGAGGAAAAGAAAUCAACCGAGAUUCCCCCAGUAGCGGCGAGCGAACGGGGAGGAGCCCAGAGCCUGAAUCAGCAUGUGUGUUAGUGGAAGCGUCUGGAAAGGCGCGCGAUACAGGGUGACAGCCCCGUACACAAAAGCGCACAUGCUGUGAGCUCGAUGAGUAGGGCGGGACACGUGGUAUCCUGUCUGAAUAUGGGGGGACCAUCCUCCAAGGCUAAAUACUCCUGACUGACCGAUAGUGAACCAGUACCGUGAGGGAAAGGCGAAAAGAACCCCGGCGAGGGGAGUGAAAAAGAACCUGAAACCGUGUACGUACAAGCAGUGGGAGCCCCACCACUAAGCCAGUGGUGAACUCCACAUACGCAUCCUUUGCUGAGGAUACGGUUAACGGAGCGCAAGCGACGUUCAACCGCAAAAGAAGCAGAGGGGGCUUAGUGGUGG